CCUACGGGUGACAGCAGUGAGGAAUAUUGGUCAAUGGGCGAGAGUCUGAACCAGCCAAGUCGCGUGAAGGAUGACGGCCCUAUGGGUUGUAAACUUCUUUUGUCUGGGAAUAAAAUGUUCCACGUGUGGGCUUUUGUAUGUACCAUAUGAAUAAGGAUCGGCUAACUCCGGGCCAGCAGCCGCGGUAAUACGGAGGAUCGGAGCGUUAACCGGAUUUAUUGGGUUUAAAGGGAGCGUAGGGGGAUUGUUAAGUCAGUUGUGAAAGUUUGCGGCUCAACCGUAAAAUUGCAGUUGAAACUGGUAGUCUUGAGUACAGUAGAGGUGGGCGGAAUUCGUGGUGUAGCGGUGAAAUGCUUAGAUAUCACGAAGAACUCCGAUUGCGAAGGCAGCCCACUGGACUGCAACUGACGCUGAGGCUCGAAAGCGUGGGUAUCAAACAGGAUUAGAUACCCGAGUAGUC
rnacentral:rRNA from 1 species